CAAGCCUUGAACACCAGCCUCCGCCUCAUCACGAACCCGCUUGCUGUUUUCGAUGGUCUUUUGCUUCUCCUCCAUUUGCUCAGCCAACUCUUUUAUCUUCCUUCAUAAUAGCCAAGUGAGACUCAAGGCAUUGGUUCCAUUCUCUUUUCCGAUCAACAAGCAACACCUCUUCCCACGCCGAUUCAUGCCACCGAAAGAGUUGUGUUUUCUCAUUACUGGGAACUGAGGCUUGCCGCUCUUGAUUGGAACACAAGGCGCAGUUAAUUGGCAGCGUCUACCAAAGCUUCUAUAGGAGAAAGAAAAUUUGCAAGUAUCAUGGUCAAUGGUGUUUUGUUGGAUGGAAUUGAGUGAUUGGCUGUCAUACAGGGCAAAAGGAGAUGAUACUUUUAGUCUGUGCACCACGGUGUGCAAAUGGACAAAUCUUGGUCAUGGAUAUAUGCAGAAAGUCAAUGAAAAAGAUUCCUGAGAUAUGGAAGCUUGUGGAUGGGAUGAUGACUUCUGGGAGUAGAUUGGAUUAGGUGAUCUUUCAGAUGGGCAUCAUGCUAAGAUAGUUUGUUACUUGGUAAUGAAUAAUGUCAACAGGACUGUGUAGCUUUUCCUGACCAUCUUUUGGGUUCUGGUCUUACUCCAGCUGCCGUGAAGGCAAGAAAUUUUGUACUGAAGAUUUCACAUUGAUUUACAGUGGCAUGCCUUGAGGUCCAUUAGCAAAAAACAUAUUUAUUUAGUUGCAAGAAAAUAUGAGUCACACUAUUUUCCUGGCCUUUGGUGGGUGAUUUAACUUGAUACUAGUAUUGACACCUAUUUGUAGCUAAUUUCUUAUGUAUUCAUGUGAUUUAAAUUUCCUGGAACUGGGACUUGUAGCAGUUCAUUUUGAAACUUCACAGAUUGAUGCUCAUGCUGUUGGCGGUGGGUGUAAUGGAAAGUGUGCCACAUUUGGAUUCUGAAGCUAAAGGUUAUUAUGGCUAAUCAA